rnacentral:rRNA from 1 species
CCUACGGGGGACAGCAGUGGGGGAUAUUGCACAAUGGGGGAAACCCUGAUGCAGCGACGCCGCGUGGGUGAAGAAGCGCCUCGGCGCGUAAAGCCCUGUCAGCAGGGAAGAAAAUGACGGUACCUGAAGAAGAAGCCCCGGCUAACUACGUGCCAGCAGCCGCGGUAAUACGUAGGGGGCAAGCGUUAUCCGGAUUUACUGGGUGUAAAGGGGGCGCAGACGGCGAUGCAAGCCAGGAGUGAAAGCCCGGGGCCCAACCCCGGGACUGCUCUUGGAACUGCGUGGCUAGAGUGCAGGAGGGGCGGGCGGAAUUCCAGGUGUAGCGGUGAAAUGCGUAGAUAUCAGGAGGAACACCGGUGGCGAAGGCGGCCUGCUGGACUGCAACUGACGUUGAGGCGCGAAAGCGUGGGGAGCAAACAGGAUUAGAUACCCGGGUAGUC